rnacentral:rRNA from 1 species
GACGAACGCUGGCGGCGUGCCUAAUACAUGCAAGUUGAGCGCUGAAGGUUGGUACUUGUACCAACUGGAUGAGCAGCGAACGGGUGAGUAACGCGUGGGGAAUCUGCCUUUGAGCGGGGGGCAACAUUUGGAAACGAAUGCUAAUACCGCAUAAAAACUUUAAACACAAGUUUUAAGUUUGAAAGAUGCAAUUGCAUCACUCAAAGAUGAUCCCGCGUUGUAUUAGCUAGUUGGUGAGGUAAAGGCUCACCAAGGCGAUGAUACAUAGCCGACCUGAGAGGGUGAUCGGCCACAUUGAGACUGAGACACGGCACAAACUCCUACAGGAGGCAGCAGUAGGGAAUCUUCGGCAAGAGACGAAAGUCUGACCGAGCAACGCCGCGGGAGUGAAGAAGGUUUUCGGAUCGUAAAACUCUGUUGGUAGAGAAGAACGUUGGUGAGAGUGGAAAGCUCAUCAAGUGACGGUAACUACCCAGAAAGGGACGGCUAACUACGUG